GCCCGGGUGGCGGAACUGGCAGACGCGCUGGCUUCAGGUGCCAGUGGGGGAAACUUCGUGGAGGUUCGAAUCCUCUCCCGGGCACCA
rnacentral:tRNA from 1 species